AUCACUAGCCAGUGCAGAUUGAAGACAGAUUCUAAAACAAAGAAUAAUUCAUCUUUUGGCCCCCGGGCAAAUGAUAUUGGAGAAGACACAGCAGGAGACGGUGCUUCUGCUUGUGGCUGACCAUCUGCUUCUCCCUCACAUCCUUUCAGGGGAAAAAGCUGCUUGGGGCAAGGAGUUGCUGAUGGCUUGUCUACAAUUUGAAUUGGAGGACUUAAAAGGAGAAAGUUAUAUCUUGAACGUGACAUUCUCAAGGUGGAGGGCAGGAGUACAAGAGAACUGAUGGAACUGGAGGAAACUCCCAGUGACUCUAUGAGUUUCUACUUGGAAAUCAUACAACAAUACUUCCUCCAGUCCCACUGGCCGAAGCAUUGGGCACGCGCCCAAGCUCACCUGUCAAGGGAGAGAAUCCUGGUUGGCCUACAACUUAUAUUUUAAGGAGAAAAAAAUA